rnacentral:rRNA from 1 species
AUCCGGAUUUAUUGGGUUUAAAGGGAGCGUAGAUGGAUGUUUAAGUCAGUUGUGAAAGUUUGCGGCUCAACCGUAAAAUUGCAGUUGAUACUGGAUAUCUUGAGUGCAGUUGAGGCAGGCGGAAUUCGUGGUGUAGCGGUGAAAUGCUUAGAUAUCACGAAGAACUCCGAUUGCGAAGGCAGCCUGCUAAGCUGCAACUGACAUUGAGGCUCGAAAGUGUGGGUAUCAAACAGGAUUAGAUACCCUGGUAGUCCACACGGUAAACGAUGAAUACUCGCUGUUUGCGAUAUACUGCAAGCGGCCAAGCGAAAGCGUUAAGUAUUCCACCUGGGGAGUACGCCGGCAACGGUGAAACUCAAAGGAAUUGACGGGGGCCCGCACAAGCGGAGGAACAUGUGGUUUAAUUCGAUGAUACGCGAGGAACCUUACCCGGGCUUAAAUUGCAGAUGAAUUACGGUGAAAGCCGUAAGCCGCAAGGCAUCUGUGAAGGUGCUGCAUGGUUGUCGUCAGCUCGUGCCGUGAGGUGUCGGCUUAAGUGCCAUAACGAGCGCAACCCUUGUUGUCAGUUACUAACAGGUUCCGCUGAGGACUCUGACAAGACUGCCAUCGUAAGAUGUGAGGAAGGUGGGGAUGACGUCAAAUCAGCACGGCCCUUACGUCCGGGGCUACACACGUGUUACAAUGGGGGGUACAGAGGGCCGCUACCACGCGAGUGGAUGCCAAUCCCCAAAACCUCUCUCAGUUCGGACUGGAGUCUGCAACCCGACUCCACGAAGCUGGAUUCGCUAGUAAUCGCGCAUCAGCCACGGCGCGGUGAAUACGUUCCCGGGCCUUGUACACACCGCCCGUCAAGCCAUGGGAGCCGGGGGUACCUGAAGUGCGUAACCGCGAGGAGCGCCCUAGGGUAAAACUGGUGACUGGGGCUAAGUCGUAACAAGGUAGCCGUACCGGAAGGUGCGGCUGGAACACCUCCUUUCUGGAG